CACACUCGUUCAAGACAUAAAACUCAACCAACAACCACCAGUGUCAUCAUCCUCUACAAUCAGCAAUGCAGACCACCAUCUUCGAUUUCAACAGAGAUUUUCUCUCUCUCACUCUCACACACAACCUUCACCCACCACCACCCUAUGACACCACCAAGCCGCCACCACCCUUCACCUCCUCCAAGGAAACCCUAACGCUAACUAAACAAUCCACCGGAAACCCAAACCAUUCCUGUAAACAAUCCAUAGAAAACCCUCCUAAAAAACAAUACAAAGGAAGCCCUAACCCUACCAUCACAGCCGUCACGUCGCCGCCACUUCUGCCGUCACAUCGUUGUUGCUGCCAGCACGUCGCUGAUGCGGUGGUCGCAGAUUGGUUGCCAGCGGGUUGGGGCUAAACUGUGGUUAUACACUUAUACUCUUCAACUUGUCGGCCGGUUGAUUCGCUGCAGGUUUUGAAAUACGAGGAUGAAGUUGGGUAGAUGAAGAAUUAAAAAGUAGAUUAGUGGGUUAAAGUUAAAUUAUUUAACAUCUAAUGAUGAUGAUAAUAAAAAUGUUUGAAAGGAGAAUGA